UGAAGGCCGAAUGCUAAGACUGACCUCAAGAUGAGGCAGCAGUCUGUAUGCUGAUCUCUGCUCCAGUGUCAAUGCACAGGCCUCUCCAGGAAUGAGAGUCUACAUUUACAACUUGAUGACACCUGACGCCUAGAGAGCAAAGCUCAAGGUUAUCAUGUGGCAUCAUGGACAAGCUGCAAUGCCAGUUCUCCCUGGUUGACUACAGUGGCUCCAUGUUCUUCCUGGUCAUCUCUGUGUUGAGCUCUACUUACAACAUUCCCCAGUUCCAGCCCCAGGAAGGAAACAGUUUUCUAUGUGGCUAAUAUGGGCUCCCUACCUCUCUGUCAUCAGACAGAAUUGAGUCCACCAAUUAAAUCCAUCUGCUUGAAA
rnacentral:lncRNA from 1 species